rnacentral:lncRNA from 1 species
GACAAUUUUGAUCUCUUUAAAAAGGUAAUAUGUUUAAUUCAGGAAUUGCGAAAAGCCUUGCAGCAGCUACAAGAAGAAUUGCAGAAUAAGAGCCAACAGCUUCGUGCCUGGGAGGCUGAAAAAUACAAUGAGAUUCAAACCCAGGAACAAAACGUCCAGCACCUAAACCAUAGUCUGAGUCACAAGGAGCAGUUGCUUCAGGAAUUUCGGGAGCUCCUACGGUAUCGAGAUAACUCAGACAAAACCCUUGAAGCAAAUGAAACGUUGCUUGAGAAACUUCGCCAGCGAAUACAUGAUAAAGCUGUUGCUCUGGAGAGCACUCCCAGGAGAUGGAAAGCCUGAGGGAGGCUCUGCUGUCCUC